UUGGUGAGAGAAAGCUAAUAUAGUCUAAAUAAGUAUUAUGUAAUAAAUAUGUAAGAAAAUAGGAUAACAAAUUCUAAGACUAAAUACUAUUAAUAAGUAUAAAAAGUACCGUAAGGGAAAGUAUAAAAAUGAUUAUUUUAUAAGCAAUCAUAAAUAUAUUAAUUAUAUUAAUGAUGUACCUUUUGUAUAAUGGGUCAGCAAGUAAUUAAUAUUAGUAAAACUAAUAAGUUAUAAAUAAAUAGAUAAAAAUAAUAUAUAUAUAAAAAUAUAUAAAUAAUACAUAUAUUUUAAAAAUAAUAUGUAAUAUUUAAUUAAUAUUAAUUGACCCGAAAGCAAACGAUCUAACUAUGAUAAGAUGGGUAAACGAUCGAACAGGUUGAUGUUGCAAUAUCAUCUGAUUAAUUGUGGUUAGUAGUGAAAGACAAAUCUGGUUUGCAGAUAGCUGGUUUUCUAUGAAAUAUAUGUAAGUAUAGCCUUUAUAAAUAAUAAUUAUUAUAUAAUAUAUUCUAUAAUAUAUUAUAUAAAGAACGGUACAGCAAUUAAUAUAUAUUGGGGAACUAUUAAAGUUUUAUUAAUAAUAUUAAAUCUCGAAAUGUUUAAUUAUAAAUAAUAAAGAGUCAGAUUAUGUGCGAUAAGGUAAAUAAUCUAAAGGGAAACAGCCCAGAUUAAGAUAUAAAGUUCCUAAUAAAUAAUAAGUGAAAUAAAUAUUAAAAUAUUAUAAUAUAAUCAGUUAAUGGGUUUGACAAUAACCAUUUUUAAUGAACAUGUAACAAUGCACUGAUUUAUAAUAAAU
rnacentral:rRNA from 1 species